rnacentral:rRNA from 1 species
AUGAUCGUCGGCAAGAGUUCUCAUUACGUACACAUGACCAUCACGACUGCUGCUUUUCAUUGCUAUGGUCUGCCUGGCCGUCGUGACGAGCACUCUACUGUCGACCCCAGGAAUAACAGGGAAAGCAUCUUUUAUAUCGACCCAAAAGUCUUCCCGCAUGUCAUCGAUUACAAUGAAGAACCUGAUACAGAGAUGAAGAGACAGAGAGUAGAAUUCACAGAAGAAAGAGGGCACCAGAUUCAGAGUUUCAGGGGAAGAGGUGAAGAGCAGAGUUACAGGUCACAAACUUUUCCAAUGGCAAAAAACAACGGCAAAGCAAACAACUCUCGCUCAAGGGCCGGGACAGCUGUCGACGACGCACCGACUUGCGCUAGACGAUACAGAGCCAACCAUCAGAUCAAGCAGUCCACUUUGGGCCACUGA